AUUGAACGCUGGCGGCAGGCCUAACACAUGCAAGUCGAGCGGUAGCACAGAGAGCUUGCUCUCGGGUGACGAGCGGCGGACGGGUGAGUAAUGUCUGGGAAACUGCCUGAUGGAGGGGGAUAACUACUGGAAACGGUAGCUAAUACCGCAUAAUGUCGCAAGACCAAAGUGGGGGACCUUCGGGCCUCAUGCCAUCAGAUGUGCCCAGAUGGGAUUAGCUAGUAGGUGGGGUAAUGGCUCACCUAGGCGACGAUCCCUAGCUGGUCUGAGAGGAUGACCAGCCACACUGGAACUGAGACACGGUCCAGACUCCUACGGGAGGCAGCAGUGGGGAAUAUUGCACAAUGGGCGCAAGCCUGAUGCAGCCAUGCCGCGUGUAUGAAGAAGGCCUUCGGGUUGUAAAGUACUUUCAGCGAGGAGGAAGGCAUUAAGGUUAAUAACCUUAGUGAUUGACGUUACUCGCACAAGAAGCACCGGCUAACUCCGUGCCAGCAGCCGCGGUAAUACGGAGGGUGCAAGCGUUAAUCGGAAUUACUGGGCGUAAAGCGCACGCAGGCGGUCUGUUAAUCAGAUGUGAAAAUCCCCGGGCUCAACCUGGGAAACUGCAUUUGAAACUGGCAGGCUUGAGUCUUGUAAAGAA
rnacentral:rRNA from 1 species